AGAGGUCACUACUAAGUGGCUGUUACUUGUUUAUCAAUUAUUAAAUUAUAAAUGGAAAUGAUACUGUUAAAGGUAUUGUUUCCACAUUAAACCUAAAGAAAGUGCUUACAGCCGAUCAAAGAACGUAAGUACAAAAGUAAUUAGGGUAGAAGAGUUCAAUAAAGAGAUUGUUAAGAGUAAUACAAAGAUUAAAUCACCGAGAGAUC
rnacentral:misc_RNA from 1 species